GGACAGCAGAGCAAUAGCAGGGAUUCUGCAACUCUAAGGAAUGAUGCCUGUUGAUGUCUGUCCCAAGGAUAGGGGAUCCCAGUGGGCCUGGCUUGAGAUGGGACAAUGCUAUAGCAAGAAGUCUGUGGUCCCAGAGUCUGACACCUCAGAGAGAAGCAGCAUGACGUCUGGAACUUCAGAUUCAGAUAUACAACAAGAAAACAAAGUAUCGAAAGUGUCCCUGGAUACCGGACAGAUGGCGUUUACCUUGGCCCAACUUGAGUCAUUGGAGACUUGUCUGAAAGAAGCAGAAGAAAAGGCUAAAGCUUUAUCUGAACAGGUAACACCUGUUAUGGGAACUGGAAACAAAUGUUCCUCAGUGUGCAGC
rnacentral:lncRNA from 1 species